GACGUAGGAUGCGAGCGUUGUUCGGAUUUAUUGGGCGUAAAGCGUACGUAGGCGGCUGUCUAAGUCUGGUGUUAAAGCUAGAGGCUCAACCUCUGUGUUGCACUGGAAACUGGGCGGCUUGAGAGCGGUAGGGGGAAGGUGGAAUUCCGAGUGUAGCGGUGAAAUGCGUAGAUAUUCGGAAGAACACCGGUGGCGAAGGCGACCUUCUGGGCCGUUUCUGACGCUGAGGUACGAAAGCGUGGGGAGCAAACAGG
rnacentral:rRNA from 1 species